UACGAGGGGGGCGAGCGUUGUUCGGAAUUAUUGGGCGUAAAGGGUGCGUAGGUGGCGAGGUAAGUCGGAUGUGAAAGCUCGGAGCUCAACUCCGAAAUGGCAUUGGAAACUACCUGGCUUGAGGGUUGGAAGGGGGACUGGAAUUCUCGGUGUAGCAGUGAAAUGCGUAGAUAUCGAGAGGAACACCAGUGGCGAAGGCGAGUCCCUGGACAAUACCUGACACUGAGGCACGAAAGCUAGGGGAGCAAACAGG
rnacentral:rRNA from 1 species